UUAGCGGCGGACGGGUGAGUAACACGUGGGCAACCUGCCCCUUAGACUGGGAUAACUCCGGGAAACCGGAGCUAAUACCGGAUAAUCCCUUUCUCCACCUGGAGAGAGGGUGAAAGAUGGCUUCGGCUAUCACUAGGGGAUGGGCCCGCGGCGCAUUAGCUAGUUGGUAAGGUAACGGCUUACCAAGGCAACGAUGCGUAGCCGACCUGAGAGGGUGAUCGGCCACACUGGGACUGAGACACGGCCCAGACUCCUACGGGAGGCAGCAGUAGGGAAUCUUCCGCAAUGGACGAAAGUCUGACGGAGCAACGCCGCGUGAGUGAGGAAGGCCUUCGGGUCGUAAAGCUCUGUUGUGAGGGAAGAAGCGGUACCGUUCGAAUAGGGCGGUACCUUGACGGUACCUCACCAGAAAGCCACGGCUAACUACGUGCCAGCAGCCGCGGUAAUACGUAGGUGGCAAGCGUUGUCCGGAAUUAUUGGGCGUAAAGCGCGCGCAGGCGGCUUCUUAAGUCUGAUGUGAAAUCUCGGGGCUCAACCCCGAGCGGCCAUUGGAAACUGGGGAGCUUGAGUGCAGAAGAGGAGAGUGGAAUUCCACGUGUAGCGGUGAAAUGCGUAGAGAUGUGGAGGAACACCAGUGGCGAAGGCGACUCUCUGGUCUGUAACUGACGCUGAGGCGCGAAAGCGUGGGGAGCAAACAGGAUUAGAUACCCUGGUAGUCCACGCCGUAAACGAUGAGUGCUAGGUGUUAGGGGUUUCGAUGCCCGUAGUGCCGAAGUUAACACAUUAAGCACUCCGCCUGGGGAGUACGGCCGCAAGGCUGAAACUCAAAGGAAUUGACGGGGACCCGCACAAGCAGUGGAGCAUGUGGUUUAAUUCGAAGCAACGCGAAGAACCUUACCAGGUCUUGACAUCCUUUGACCACCCAAGAGAUUGGGCUUCCCCUUCGGGGGCAAAGUGACAGGUGGUGCAUGGUUGUCGUCAGCUCGUGUCGUGAGAUGUUGGGUUAAGUCCCGCAACGAGCGCAACCCUUGAUCUUAGUUGCCAGCAUUAAGUUGGGCACUCUAAGGUGACUGCCGGUGACAAACCGGAGGAAGGUGGGGAUGACGUCAAAUCAUCAUGCCCCUUAUGACCUGGGCUACACACGUGCUACAAUGGAUGGUACAAAGGGCAGCGAAACCGCGAGGUGAAGCCAAUCCCAUAAAGCCAUUCUCAGUUCGGAUUGCA
rnacentral:rRNA from 2 species